CUCUGGUUGCAUUAUUUUAUGUCAACACUGGGUACAACAUCCCCUAGUUGUCUCAUCUUGUUGUCAGCAAAAGUACACCAUUCCCUGGAUGCAUUAUUUUCUGUCAACACAGGGUACACCAUCCCCUGGAUGCAUUAUUUUCUGUCAACACAGGGUACAAGGUCCCCUGGUUGUAUCAUCUUGUUGUCAACACAAGGUACACCAUCC
rnacentral:lncRNA from 1 species